rnacentral:rRNA from 1 species
CGUGAUGGGGUGGCCGCAAGGCUGGAAGCAACUGAUUUCACACUGUCAAGAAAAGCCGCUAGCGAGACCGUAGGUGCCCGUACCGCAAACCGACACAGGUAGAUGAGGAGAGAAUCCUAAGGUGAGCGAGAGAACUAUUGUUAAGGAACUCGGCAAAAUAACCCCGUAACUUCGGGAGAAGGGGUGCUCCGGAAACGGAGCCGCAGUGAAAAGUCCCAGGCGACUGUUUACCAAAAACACAGGUCUCUGCGAAAGCGAAAGCUGAAGUAUAGGGGCUGACGCCUGCCCGGUGCUGGAAGGUUAAGGGGAUGUGUUAGGGCAACCGAAGCACUGAACUUAAGCCCCAGUAAACGGCGGCCGUAACAAUAACGGUCCUAAGGUAGCGAAAUUCCUUGUCGGGUAAGUUCCGACCCGCACGAAAGGCGUAACGAUCUGGGAACUGUCUCAACAAUAGACUCGGUGAAAUUGUAGUACCGGUAAAGAUGCCGGUUACCCGCAGCAGGACGGAAAGACCCCAUGGAGCUUUACUGUAGCUUGAUAUUGAGAUUCGGCGUUGCAUGUACAGGAUAGGUGGGAGACUGCGAGGUAAGUACGCCGUAUUUACGGAGUCACCGUUGGGAUACCACCCUUGUAACGUUGAGUUUCUAACAUUGCGCCGUGAUCCGGCGCAUGGACAGUGUCAGGUGGGCAGUUUGACUGGGGCGGUCGCCUCCUAAAGAGUAACGGAGGCGCCCAAAGGUUCCCUCAGUGCGGUCGGAAAUCGCGCGAAGAGUGUAAAGGCAGAAGGGAGCUUGACUGCGAGACAGACAAGUCGAGCAGGGACGAAAGUCGGGCUUAGUGAUCCGGUGGUUCCGCGUGGAAGGGCCAUCGCUCAACGGAUAAAAGCUACCCUGGGGAUAACAGGCUGAUACCGCCCAAGAGUUCACAUCGACGGCGGUGUUUGGCACCUCGAUGUCGGCUCGUCUCAUCCUGGGGCUGAAGUAGGUCCCAAGGGUUGGGCUGUUCCCCAUUAAAGAGGUACGCGAGCUGGGUUCAGAACGUCGUGAGACAGUUCGGUCCCUAUCCGCUGUGGGCGUUGGAGAUUUGAGUGGAGCUGUUCCUAGUACGAGAGGACCGGGAUGGACGUAGCUCUGGUGCACCAGUUGUUCUGCCAAGGGCAUCGCUGGGUAGCUACCUACGGACGGGAUAAGCGCUGAAAGCAUCUAAGUGCGAAGCCCCCCACGAGAAAAGAUCUCCUCG